rnacentral:tRNA from 1 species
AUUUUAUUAGCUUAUUUAUUAAAGCAUUAUACUGAAGAUAUAAAAAAAACUUCAAGUUAUAAAAUA